rnacentral:RNase_P_RNA from 1 species
AACGCAGGGAGGCAGACUGUCGGCAUUUAUGCUGUGGAAAGUCCACCCACUCGUGAAGUCCAGCGUAAGUGAACUUUAAUCGGUUCAUCUGGCAACAGAAAUAAACUGCUUUGAUCGCAUAAUGAUGCUUGUCUGAAGUUGUUCAAAGUUAGGUGAGAUAUGUUAGAUUGGAUGAGUGCAAGACCUUGAGUCGCUUAGUUGAAUGUCUGCAUUUACUGUCCGAUUACGGAGUAAAACAAAAGGUGGCUUAUAUCUCUGCGUU